rnacentral:lncRNA from 1 species
AUUAUUUUGUGAUUGUUGUUAUUGUGGAGAAGAUGAUGAUCAAAGAAUGAGCCUCCUUUUUCCCUCUUAGAAUUUUUCUUUUAUAAUGGGCAUGAAUUUGUUAUGAUGUGGGAAUUUUGGUGGGUCCCCCAUAUAUUCUUUCUUUGUAGACAAGAAAAAGGAGGGGGGAUCACAUGGGUAGUUAGGGUGGUGAUGGUGAUGUGUCAUUUUUAAUAGGGAGGGAUUGUUAGAAUAAGAUAAAAUUAGUUAGGAAUUAUUAUUUUUGUC